CCUACGGGUGGCAGCAGUGGGGAAUAUUGCACAAUGGGGGAAACCCUGAUGCAGCCACGCCGCGUGAGUGAAGAAGUCUUUCGGUAUGUAAAGCUCUAUCAGCAGGGAAGAAAAUGAUGGUACCUGUUUAAGAAGCUCUGGCUAAUAACGUGCCAGCAGCCGCGGUAAUACGGCGGGGGCAAGCGUUAUCCGGAUGUACUGGGUGUAAAGGGGGCGUAGGCGGCAGGACAAGUCUGGAGUGAAAUUCCGGGGCUUAACCCCGGAACUGCCGUGGAAACUGUGCGGCUUGAGUGCAGGAGAGGUAGGUGGAAUUCCUGGUGUAGCGGUGAAAUGCGUAGAUAUUAGGAGGAACACCAGUGGCGAAGGCGGCUUACUGGACUGUAACUGACGUUGAGGCUCGAAAGCGUGGGGAGCAAACAGGAUUAGAUACCCCAGUAGUC
rnacentral:rRNA from 1 species